UCCAUUUCUGCUACUGAGGAUGGACACAAAGAAUGCAAAGUUGAUUAGAUUCAUUUUUGCGGCUCAGUGAUCCUAAAGCUUUUCUAAAAUAUGGAUUUCCUGAACUAUAGUGUCUGCCUCUUGCAUGUGAAUAAAAUCUUCUCUAAACUAUCACUAGGUAAAAAAACAAACAAACAAACAACAACAACAACAACAACAACAACAACAACAACAACAACAACAACAACAACAACAACUACCAUAGCAAGUGCAACAACAACAACAACAACAACAACAAAACAACCACACAAAACAAACAAAAAAACAAUUCCAAACAAACACAGACAAGUAAAAUAUGCAAACAAACAACACAAAACUAAUAAACCAAGCCACUACUUUAAUGCCACUGGAAUAUUUGGACAACUACUACAUAGAAAAACAAGAAAUACACUGCUCAUACUCCAAGGCCCAAACUUCAAUGUUCCAAAUGCGUUCACCUUCUCCUUCCAAGUCACACA
rnacentral:lncRNA from 1 species